CGCUUGCUUCUCCCCCAGACCCCGCUAUCCCGAGCUUCACCACCCGAGUUUCGGUCGCCACAAGCCCCAAUUAUGUCCGGAUCCAGCCGUCAAGGCCGGUGGGUAGCUUCUUCUAUCACGGAGGGAGAUAUUGCAAAGCUUCGGGCGGCGAGGUAUUUGACCGUGGAAAUCCACCAUCGGCUUCCCGCCGAGGGGCAGGUUAUUCCCACCCCCAGAUCCGGCGAGAGGGUCGUGUUCAUGUCCCACUUCCUUCGCGGGCUAGGGUUUGCACUUAACCCCUUCGUCCGGGGGCUCAUG
rnacentral:rRNA from 1 species